UGCGCAUUCUGCCCAGGCGGAGCUCGACCGCCGCUGACUGACGUCGAUGGGUUCAUCGACGAGCAUCGUGAGGAGCACGGGGUCGAGCCGAUCUGCACCACGCUGGCCGAGGCCGGCUACCAGAUCGCCCCC
rfam:Kytococcus sedentarius DSM 20547, complete genome.